rnacentral:rRNA from 1 species
CCUACGGGGGGCAGCAGUGAGGAAUAUUGGUCAAUGGCCGGAAGGCUGAACCAGCCAAGCCGCGUGAAGGACGAAGGUGCCAAGCAUUGUAAACUUCUUUUGUCAAGGGACAAAAUCAGGCUCGAGAGCCUGACCGAGGGUACUUGAAGAAAAAGCAUCGGCUAACUCCGUUCCAGCAGCCGAGGUAAUACGGAGGAUGCGAUGGUUAUCCGGAUUUAUUGGGUUUAAGGGGGACGUAGGCGGGCUGUUAAGUCAGCGGUAAAAGCCCGGGGCUCAACCCCGGCGAGCCGUUGAAACUGGCGGUCUUGAGAUGUCGAGAGGUAGGCGGAAUGCGCAGUGUAGCGGUGAAAUGCUUAGAUAUUGCGCAGAACUCCGAUUGCGAAGGCAGCAUACCGGCGGCGAUCUGACGCUGAGGCACGAAAGCGUGGGUAUCGAACAGGAUUAGAUACCCGUGUAGUC